GAGUCGGAAUCGGGGCAGGAGAAUGUCUCUGGUAACUGAUUACCACAGCUGGGGGUGAUACUCUUUAACACGUGAGGUAGAAAUUACAAUCUGAAAAUGGUUGGUGGUGGCAAGCAGCAGCAGGAAUUUCACAUCUCCUGAACGAUGGCGUGGGCCUGCUGUACGUGCUGUAAAUAUAACUGAUUUAAAUCAUCUCAGUUUAUGAGGUAUGUACUGUUAUUACCUCCAUUAUACAGAUAAGGAAUCUGAGGCAGAGAAAGACUGAGUCACUUGCCCAAUGUUUUCAAGCUAGGAAAUCUCAUUCCGUGGUCACGCUCUUUGCCAUCAACUACACAUAAAAUGAAAUACCUCCCACUCUCAAGGACCAUGCAGAAAGAGAUGCAGGGAAAGAUGGAGUUCAGUCAGUAAUAUGUCUCUUACUAUAGACAGAGUGUUUGCAUUUUUAAUAAUAUAUAUGCUACGAGAGUCCACUAAAAAUAUAUUAAAUUCUUUUUAACUAAAUUUCUUGGUGUUUCUAAUUCUUGAGGAGUAACGAUAUAAUGAAAGAGGAGGUCAGGAAAAUUUUAGAAGCUUAGUGGUGCUGGUUUGCAAAAGUUUUCCUGAAAUAGCUUUUCAUAAUGUUCAUUGAAGGGCAUGAAAUAACAGACAAACUUAGGAAAAGGGGAUUCCUAACCAGAUCAAGAGAAGCAACUAGCUACAUGACGAGGGUGGUUCUCCAACACCACUUAGUUUUGGGUGCUUGAAGCACGUCUCACAGGGGCUUCCCGGAGCUCAAGGCUGGCACAGCAGGAAUGACAUGAGGGUAACAGUGGCGUUCUGGUUUGUCUCACUGGCUUAUGUGUCAUCAGCACAGCCCAAUCAUCACUCACAAUAACAGAUGUUUUUUAACAAAAUAUGGGCACAAAACUAAGCAAACUAGUCAUGGUGCUAAAACUAUGAGAAAUCACAUGUCAAGAAAUAAGAGGGAUCUCUACAUAUAUUAACUGAUACAUAUAACUACCUUCUUAUUGUUCUCCUGUGAGGUUUUAUUUUCAGAUAGUCACAGGUUCCAUCAGUGCCUUUCAGAAUGCCCACAGCCUGGACUGAUGUCCUCGGUCUUUAUGGAGUCCUCAUUAUUACUAUGCCUUUCAUCUCAGGUAAGGCUUCCCUUUAGCUUAACUUGUUCAGAAAUCUGUUCUGAUUAAAACUGGCCAAAGGAUGAUAAAUACUCCUGCCAACUGUCAGUCCCUUAAUGGUCAAUGACUAACUACUCAUCUGUACAGCACUAACAAUAAUUUUACUUCCGUUACAGACACCCACCCAACUAGUUCAGAUGUGUUCAAUGACUGAGCAGCUUUGAACAAGGACCCAGGGGUCUGAUCAACCGUUCCCAAUUCUGGGCUGUACACUCUGGCAGCACAAACUGAAGUCCACGGCAAAUUGAUAAAGAAUGGACAUUGGCAUAUCCAGUGUUACCUGACCUGUGACAGUGCAACAGACUGAGUGCAUAAGGACAUAAAAGAUGCCGGUUCUCUGGGAUUAAGGCAAGACAUUAAAGAGAUUUUCAAAAUGUAAAACAAUGCCACUUUUCUAACUAAAUUUUUUGUUUUGGAAAAGUUUGUUCUUCCACAAAAACAUGUCAUUUCUGUUAACAUGUAAUGAAUUGUUCUCUUUAAAUAUUAAAAAAUUCUUGAUUUUAAUUUCUAAUAUGGUAAAUAUCAGUAUAUGUUGUAUGUAUGUAACAUAUAGAACCCACGUUAAAAACUCUCGGGCGGGGGGGCGGCGGUUUCCCUGGCAGCGCAGUGGUUAAGAAUCCGCCUGCCUACGCAGGGGACACGGGUUCGAGCCCUGGUCCAGGAAGAUCCCACA